UGGAAAAGGAAGCAGAAGAAUCAGAGAAGAUGAGACAAUGGAAGCAGAGGUUGCAGCAAUGCCGUUCUUGGCUUUGAAGGUAGAGGAAGGAAGGGGCUCUGAGCCAGAGUCUCCAGGAGGCCUCUAGAAGCUGAAAAAGCAGCCAUAGAAUAUGGGCGUGGCAUCCCUCCCUGGCGAGGAGCUCCCAGAGCACCCUCAGUGAUGAGGGUCCUUGUGCUUCACAGGGUGGCGUCUUUACUUUCCACCCCACCAGCUGGACUCCAAGCUUGACCUUUCUACACUACCACAGUUGUCUCUUCAGAGCCCAGAAUAGUGCAAGGAACUUAAUCUUGGAACAGACACUUCAUCAGCCACCCAAGCAGGAAACUGCCUUUCUGCAGAAGUUAAUAUGCACAGCAUGAUCCAGGAGCAGGAGGACUCAGUGGAGACAUGGUCACUCCGAGGCAUAAACUGUCCCAUGGCAGACACGCCGCUGGAGUCAUCACCAGCAAAUAAGGCUCCAGGGUCCAAAGCCCCACCACCCUCCAGUCAGUGCCUGCUGCAGCCUCUUCUCUCAGGACCCAGGGGCUUCCAGGGGAACAGGAUGCCUGGCUUCUGGUCCUUCCAUCACACGAAUGGUGACAGAGGCCAGCAGGGACACACAUCCAGGGCAUAGUGAUAAAUGGAGCUCAAUGAACUCAGCUUUCAGAGGCAGCAACACUGUCCCCGCUGACCACCACCAGCUGGGUACCAGGGGACAAACCCUCUCAACACCAAGAGCUUCAACCUCUGCACUGGUGAGAAGUGGAACCUUUCUGAAUUUUGGGACAUGAGCAUUUCUGGGAACAUUCACCUUUUGUCCCUGUAUACAACGGAAGUUCUGUGGCCUGAUAAGGAUGAUCUUCAAGCGUGCAGAAUCCUGCUCUGAUAUAGUUUGGUCUCAGGCUCCACAGGAAAUUUGAAAUCAGCCAUUUUAGGGGCUGGGAAGUCCAAGAUCAAGAUGCUGGCAGAUUCAGUGUCUGGAGGAGUCUCAUUCUUUCACCUAAGCUGGAGUGAAGUGGUGCAAUCUUGGCUCGCUACAACCCCAUGCCCCCAUGGUUCAAGCGCUUCACCUGCCUCAGCCUCCGGAGUAGCUGGGAUUGCAGGUUCCCGCCACCACACCUGGCUAAUUUUUGCAUUUCUGGUAGAGACAGGAUUUCACCAUAUUGGCCACAGUGGUCUUGAACUCCUGAUCUCAGAUGAUCCACCCACCUUGGCCUCCCAAAGUGCUAGGAUUACAGGUGUGAGCCACCAGGCCUGGCCAAUGCUAAAUUUUAGAGAGUAAAGAAAAAAACAAUGUAAUUUUUCCCUCAUUUAAGUUAAUUGUCUCCCUAAAUUCUAUUUAUGGGCUUCUCAGAGAUGCAACAGCAGACCCUAGGUUGAAAAUCCUUGCAUUAGAUGGAAGACACCUAGGUCCCUCGGUGCCCUCCCCCCCACUCCCCUCAAGACAGUUUCAUAGUUGGCCACCUGCUGAUCACACAAUGAGCUUUUAUUCUACUAAGCCAUUGAGAGUUGGAAGUUGUUUGUUAUAGUAAUAUAAGUAAUAUAUUACUUAUUUUAACUAACACAGAAAUCAAGCUUUAGAUUUAAGAAGUCCAAUAUAUAAAAAGAAAUCCACGCAUAGACAAAUCAUGAUGAAAUUGCACAAAAACAGAAAGAAUUAGUUUUGGUUUAUUUGUUCGUUGUGAGUGAGAAGGUCUUUCUCUGUCACCCAGGCUGGAGUGCAGUGGUACAAUCAUACCUCACUGCAGCCUCAUACUCCUUGGCGUAAGCAAUCCUCCCACACCAGCCUCCCAAGUAGCUAGGACUAUGGGCAUGUGCUACCAUGCUGGCUAAUUUUUUUAAAUUUUAUUUUUGUGGAUACAGAGUCUUGCUUUGCUGCCCAGGCUGCUAUUAAACUCCUGGCCUCAGACAAUUUUUCUGCCUUGGCCUCCCAAAGCUCUGAGAUUACAGGUGUGAGCCACCACACCUGGAAGAGAAGGUCUUUAAAGCAGCCAAGAAGGAAAACAAGAUUGCUUUCAAUGAGACUAGCAGCUGACUUCUCAUGAACAAAGUGGAAGCCAGAGGACAGGGCAUGAUUACCUUCAAUGUCUGAGCAAACAUAAACUGUUAGCUUAGACGUUUAUAUUCAGCAGAAGUUCUUUUAAGAAUAAGAAUGAAAUAAAGACAUUUUCAGACCAAAAAAAAAAAAAAUGCAAUUGUGAGUUACACCGGAUUCUGGGAGAAUAAGAAGGAUAAUUCCCAUGACCUGCCUUCAGGUUGCUCUGGGCUGUCUACUUUUGCCCCAGCCUGAGCAGUUGGGAAUGUGAAAUGUGAACCAUACUGUGCCCCAUCAUUAUUCUUGCCUGAGAAAGUUACAUAAACAGUGAUAUAGUUAGCUACUGCUAUGUAACAAAAUCCCUCCAAACUCAGCGAUGUAAAACAACGGUAUUGCUCGUGAGUCAAUAGGACAGUCUGUUCAUCUGGACUAGGCUCGGCUGAUCUUAGCUGGGCUUACUCAUGGUCUACAGUUAGCUAGUAGGUCUGCUGGACACUGACUGGUCUAAGUGGCCUUACUCAUAUAUCUGAGUAGGCUGGCCAUUGGCUGGAGUGAUGGGGGCAGCUGGGCUAUGUGUCUUGCCCAACCAGCAGGCUAGCUUGAGCUUAUUCACAUGAGUGUGGCAGAGCUCCAAGGGAGUGAGGAAAAUUGCAAGACCAGGCUUGGAACUGGCACAUUGUCACUUCCGUUUUAUUCUGUUGGUCAAAGAAUAAGGCCAGCCCAGCUUCAAGAGGUGAGGAAACAGACUCUACCUCUGAGUGGAAGAAGCCAAAAAGUCAUCUUACAAGAAGGCGGGGAGGGGAAUCAUGAAUCAGUGGGGCGAUUUUCCCCCCACAUUUAUCAAAGUGACUUUGAAAUAAAGGCCACAAGCUAGUGUGUUGUGGCUCUAGGGGAAGAAAUCUUGGGGAAAUUAUAAAAAAAAGUCCCAGGUGCCACACCCUAUAAAUAUAUCGUUUCAUCUUUGUGACCACCCAAACUGUUAGGUGCCAUUGGUGAGGAGAGCAAGUAACCUGACUCAGGUCUCCUUGUUAAAGUGAGGUCAAUGAUAAGGCCAGGACUUGAACCAGGUAGUCUAACAUCAGGGCCGAUCUCUCUCCCACCUUCUCUGCUGCCUUCCUGACAAUGACACUGAGAGUGUGAAUCUGGGUGUGUGGCUGUGUGUACGUCACAAUCUUUCUAGGCUUCAGAUACUUCAGUGUUUUGUUUUCUUAACAAACACAUGUGAGACUAAGAUGUAAUAAUUCUUGUUAGUGCUUUGGCUGGGCCUGCAGCUCUGCCAGUUACUUGGCAAGUCACUGAGUCUGAGUUUUCCUCAUCGGUAAAGUAGGGACACAUCUCCCACAGUGGUUGCAAGAAUUUGAUGAAAUGAUGUAUUCGACAAUGCCUCGUUCUUCCCAGUGUACAGCAGGCACUGGUGUCUGUUUCCUUCUCUGGUAUCUCCUUCUAUUCACAGGGAAAAUCCCAGGGGCUGGAGCAGCUUUGUCAGGCCACCUGAUGAGAAGAGGGCAUCUUUGCAAGCUCUGUGUCCUCAAUCAUCCUACGUGAAAUGUUAUGUCUGCCAAAGCAUAAUUAAAUCCUGGAGCAGCGAGCACAGAUAAUGAAUGCAAGAAUGCACCAUCCUGGAAGUAGAAAGUAGACCUCACUGGACAUCAAACCUGCCAGCACCUUGCAUUUGGACUUCCCAGCCUCCAGAGCUCCCUGGGUUGUGUCUACAGCCGUCCUGUGAUGAGCAUUCCAUAGGCUGUCUGUCUUCCCAGAGGAUCUGGCCCCGCUCUUGCACUAGAUCAUUCCCUGGGUCAGAGAAGUGACAGGUCUGGGCCAGGACUGGAGAGCAGCUGUUUAUCAUCCUGGCAGGAAACCGCACUCUCCAGGAGCACUCACAGGACAGGGACACUUGUGAGUCUCACCUCCUGGGCAGGUAGGUUUUCAGGUGGUUGGGAUCAGGCAGUGUCACAGCAGGGUGGGGGAGGGGUUCUUGGCUAUCCGGCAUGGGAAUGGGGACAGAUAUAUAAGGAAAACCUGCCACAGCACCCCACAACCGCACAGCCCCACUGGGGUUUCAGCCUCAUGACAUUAGCCACCACAUCUGUCAAAUGGAGACAAUAAUAAUUUCCUUCCCAUCCCUGCCACAUCCAUGUCUGCUUGGAGGGAAGGGGCUAAUGGCACAGGCCCUGUCCUGGGUGCUCCAGGGGAGAAAGCAGAGGCCAAGAAGAGAGCCAAUGACUUGCUUAAGGUCACUGUCCCCUUUGGCCCCAGGGUGACUGGGCUUUUGGAAUACUGACGCACUUGGAGAAUUGGCUGGAGUAAUUUCUAGUGGUCUAUGGUGACCUUGAACCCUAUGCCAGAGAAAUCCUGUACCCAAGGGCACUGAGAUUAAGGCCACUUUCCUGGCUUUGUAUUUAUUGUUUUAAAUAAUUUACAAUUGUUUUAAGUAAUUGCAUUUAUUGCUUUAAAUAAUUCACGAUUGCCUAAAAUAAUUUCAUUUGUUGUUUUAAAUAAUAUACUGCAAAAUAGAUCAGUGUUCUGUGUAGGACAGUUAGAGCUUAGAUACAGACACAAGAAAAUUAACAUCACCUGCCUUUUACACCAUUCAGAAAUACAGCUGUGAACCUUUUGAAGUAUGUUCUCUGGUCCUGUUUUCAAUUGCUCUUUGCUCAUUGAUUAAACAACACUUACUAGCAUCCCCUGGAUUUCAGGCACCGUCCUAGGCACUGGGAAUACCAUAAUGAAUAAGACUUGGUUCCUGACCUCAGGGAGCUUACAAUGGACCCCACCACCACACACACACACACUCACUCACAGAGUUGGUUUGGUUUUGACUGGUACUGAACUUAAUGUCUUGGAAACUUUUUUCCCCCACUGAAUGUAUUAUGAACACUUUCCCAUGUGAUUCUUUCACAAUAUCGUUUAAAUGGUUACACAGGGUUUCAUUCUCUGAACCUACCAUUUAUUUCACUUUCUAUUCUGGAACAGUCAGUGCUUUGGUGAAAAUCUUUGUGGUUGGAUCUGUGUACACACCUAUGGUUUGUUCUCUCUCCCCCCCCCCAAUUUUGUUAUUGUGGUAAAAUACACAUAACAUAAAAUGUACCGUCUUAACCAUUUUUAACUGUACACAUUUCACUGGUAUUAAAGACAUUUAUAAUGUUGUACAUCCAUCACCAGAACUCUUUGUCUCGUAAAACUGAAACUCUAUACUCAUGAAACAGCAACUCCCAUUCCCCUCUCCCCAGCCCCUAGCAGCCACAUUCUACUUCCCGUCGCUAUGAAUUUGACCACUCUGGAUAUCUCAUGUAAGUGGAAUGAAUUGUACUGCAUUUGUCCUUCUGCAACAGGCAAUGAGUGAUGUCCUCAAGCUUCAUCCAUGUUGUAGCACGUCAGAAUUUCCUUCUUCUAAGACUGAACAAUAUUCUACUGCAUGUAUAGACUAUAUUUUCUUUCUCCACUGUAUACUUAUUUCUCCAGGCUGAAUAUCUGGAAGCGGAAUUACUGAGUCAAAGCUUUGCUGUUCAUUGCCUAAUUCUCUUCCAGCACACAGGUGCCAAUUUCCUCUGCUUCUACUCCAAAACAAGAGUUUUCAUUUCCCUGCACUUCUGCCAGCACCGAGCACUAUAAGCUUUUUAAAAACAUUUUGAUAUAAUUUCAAAUUUACAGAAAGAUUGCAAGAGGAGAACAAAGACCACCCCUGUUGCCUAGAUUCGCCAAGUGCUAACAUUUGCCCCAUUUGCUUUCCUCCUCCUUCUCCCUCCCUCUCAACCCCAUCCAUCCUCCUUCUUUUGCUUUCUGGACCAUUUAAGGUGAGUUGCAAACAUCACAAUGCUUUAUCCCUAGUUAUUUCUGUGUGCAUUUCCCAACAACCUCUUACAUAACCACUGUACAUUAUAAAAAUCAGUAAAUUUAACGUUGAUGUGCUGAUGUGAUUAUUGCUAUUUUCUUUUUUCUUUUUCUUUUUUUUUUUUUUUGAGACAGAAUCUCACUCUGUCUUCCAGGCUGGGGUGCAGCAGUGGCACAAUCUUGGCUCACUGCAACCUCCACCUCCCAGGUUCAAAUGAUUCUUCUGCCUCAACCUCCUGAGUAAAUGGGAUUACAGGAACCCACCAACUCACCCACCUAGAUUUGUAUCUUUAGUAGAGAUGGGGUUUUCACCAUGUUAAUACCAGCACUUUGGGAGGCCUAGACAGGCUGAUCAUUUGAGGUCAGGAGUUACUACUAUUUUCUAAUCCACAAUCCAUAUUCAAAUUUUACCAAAUUUCCAAUAAUGCCCUCUCGACUUACCCCCAACCCCAAUCCUAAUGCAGAAUCCCACAUUGCAUUUAGGUGUUAUAUCUUCUCAGACCCUUUUCAUCUGGAGCAUUAUGCAUUUUUAAUACGUUUGUCAAUUUUAAAGGCACAAACGUGUACUGUUGUUGUUUUCAUUUAUUUUAUUUCUGGCAAAGCUGAAUAUUUCUUCUGGUGUGAAUUGCUCACUUGCAUAUUUCCUUUAGUGCAUUGCCCAGUGGUGUCCUUUGACUCUGCUUCUCUCCUGGGUUUAUACCAGCCCCAGCGCUUUGGUCACCAGACAUGACCUUCAGCAAGCAGCUCUUGUCCUGGAGAAAGCGAUGAUCUGCUGUCCCUGGAUCCUCCCGGUCCUGUCCCCCUGGAUCAGCAGCUUGGCUGGGAUUUUGAAAUAGUACAGUUGUCUGGUCUGAGCAAGGACGCCCCAUCUGUCCUUCCAAACUCCAGGGAGUACAGAGAGUUAUUCCUGUUUGGGUUCGACAUUUCCUGUGGGAUCUGACCCACUGCCAACCCCGGUUUUGUUUCCAAGAGGCCACCUGCUGAGUGUCAGCAGCGGUCAGUGGCCUCCUAGGUUGCCAUUGAUCAAUGUCUGCUCCAGCGGGUUCCUGGCAUCCGAGGCCUGGUCUGCAUCCCUGGAGAAGGGAUUGUGGUGCAAUGGAAAGCUCCCAGGGCACACUGCGCCCCCCACCCCCAGCUCAGGAUGCAGACGGGCUUCACCUGCUGAACCUGGAUAAUCUCCUUCAUGGAGCAGAGCUUGUUUCCUCUGCAAAGAUGGAAAAUGCUGAAGUUCACAGACACUGAGACAACAGGGGAAGAAUCCUGCCGAGGCCACCAGGACACCGUGCUGUCUUGUUGCUUACCAUUGUUAUUUUGUAUGUAAAUUGUUAUUACAUCAGUUAUCACUCUUUUAUGCAGUCAUAGAAAAAAAUAUAAGCAAAAUAAAUGUCAAUAUUCUGGGUUUAGCUUUUCUGCAUCACAGAUUUUCCAUGUCUUAACUUUUUUUAAUGAAGGAAAAUGUAAAUACAUAAAAUGAGAGAGAAAAUAGGAUGAUGAGCCCCCAGGUGAUCCUCAUCGUACGUGGUCUCAUCCAAUCCCCCAUUACGACACUCCUUCAGGAUUAUCAUGGGACAAACUUGAGACAUCAUCGACUUUCCUCUGUAGACACCUCAAUUUGUGUGUUAUCUGCAGAAGAUAACAAUCCCUUUGUUUCGAACAUCAUCUUAAUAUUGAACCACACCUAAAAAAUGACAAUGACUUGAUAGUAGCAUGGAAGUAUCUAGUCACUAUCUAGUCAGUGUCUGCAUUUUUCUAUAGUUGCUUUGUUCAAAUCAUCCCAACAAGGCUUAUAUUUGCAUUUGAUUGGCAUGUACCAUGGUGAAAAUAUGUCCUCCAAAUUCAUGUGUUGAAUUCAUAAUUUCCAUGGUGAUAGUAUUUAUUUAUAUUUAUUUUAUGUAUGUAUUUACUUAUUGCUCUGUCACACAGGCUAGAGUAUAGUGGUGCAGUCAUGGCUCACUGCAAUCUCAACUUCCUGAGCUCAAGCGAUCCUCCCACCCAAGUAGCUGGGAUCAUAGGCAAGCACCACCAUACCUAGCUAACUUUUUAAAUUUAAUUUUUAUUUUUGUACAGACAGAAGUCUCGCUGUGUUGCCCAGGCCAGUCUUGAGCUCCUGGUCUUAAGCCAUCCACCUGCCUCAGCCUCCCAAAGUGCUGGGAUUGUGGUUGUGAGCCACCGUGCCCAGUCCCAGUGUUUGAAAGUGAAGCCCUUAGGGGGCAGUUAAGUCAUGAGGGUUCUGCCUUCAUGAAUGGGAUUAAUGACCUCAUUAAAAGGCUGGGGGGAACUGAUGUUCAUUCUUUUUACUCUUCCAACAUCUGCCUGUGAGGACAUAGUCUUCAUCCUCUCCGCAGGAAGAGGCAAGAAGGUGCCAUUUGGAAGCAGACAGCAGCCCUCACCAGACAUCAAACCUGCCAGUGCCUGGAUCUUGGACUUCCCAGCCUCCAGAACUGCAGAAAAUAAAUUUCUAGUCUCAGUAUAUUUCAAUGUACCUAGUCUCAGGUAUUUUGUUAUUGCAAUUCACAUGGUCUGAGACAGCAUGUCUCUUCAUCUCUGUUAAUCUAUUAGUUAUCCUUCCCUCACUUUUUCUCUUGCAGUACAUUUGUGGAUGAAACUGGGCCAUUUGUCCCAUAGAGUUCUUUGCAUUUUGCUGUUUGCAUUUGUUUUAUAGUGUCCUUUAGUCUUCCUUGUCCCUUGUAUCUCCUGCAAACUGCUAUUCAGACUGAGAGCUGUUUUGACAACCCAAGGAGAAAGCAUCCCGGGGAGACUGUCAGUAAGUGUGAAUUUCCUUUAAAGAGGGUAUGGAAAAGAAUUAGGAACACUAAGGAUGGGAAUCAACAGACCAGCUCUGUUACUGGCCCAGGAAUAUGCCAUUUUGGGUGGAACAGUGGUUUUUUUUGUUUUGUUUUUAGAGAUGGAGUUUUGUUUUUGUCACGCAGGCUGGAGUGCAAUGGCAUGAUCUCAGCUCACUGCAACCUUCACCUGCCAGGUUUAAGUGAUUCUCCUGCCCAAGUAGCUGGGAUGAUAGGCGCCUGCCACCAUGCUUAGCUAAUUAUAAAAAUAUUUUUAGUAGAGACAGGGUUUCGCCAUGUUGGCCAGGUUGGUCUCAAACUCCUGAUCUCAGGCAAUCCACCCACCUCAGCCUCCCAAAGUGCUGGGAUUACAGGCAUGAGCCACCAUGUCUGGCCUGAACACAGUAUUUUUGUCUGUUACAUGGGGAAGGGAGUAAGGGAGAUGGACCAUGAGGUCUCCAGGCUCUUCUAUGGGGCUGCUUUCUGGAAUCAGUGAGUAAUAUGGCCUCCAGGGGAGUCUCUGCUUAGCAACAGUAAACUCAGCCCAGUCUCUCCGACCCAACAACCAAAGACAACUGGUCUACCCAGUACAAGGGAGCCCCAGCUCCCUGCACAGCCACUACUGGACCCUUAACAGGGCACUCAGGAAUGGGGCUUGGGAAGCCCACCUGGGUUGCAGAUUUCCCAAUAAGGUUUAGAUCCAUCUGCUUCCUGGUCACAUGGACUGGAACAUUUGUUCCCAGGGCCCCAGUGAAUGCUGGUUCCCUUCUUUGAUAACUCCAGAGAUGGCAGUAGCAGAGCUCCCUAUAAGCAAUUCACAGCUUUUCUUUUUUCUUCUCUUUCCUUUUCUUCAUUCCUUCUCGCCCUCACUUCUCCGCUUCUCUCUCCUCUCUUUUCCCCUCUUGAAUAAUCAAUUCCGUCAUUUUUCAGUGCACUAGGGGGAGCUGCUAUUUAACAAACCUGCAGGGACACUUCAGCAGUUUGAUGAGCCACCUUCUGGUUUUGCCCUAUGGGGAAGAAUUGGGUCACGGCAGAGUUGCAUAAAGCGGGGGCCACCUCCAUUGAAUUGGCUCAAUUACCCCCAACACAAAUACGGGGGUUGGGAGACCUGCAUUCGAGUAGUCUCUGCCCUCACCAGCUGCAGGAGGCUCCUUUCCCUACUCUGGCCUGGUAUCCUCAGGGGCUGUUUGUCCAGUGGUUAGGUGCGUGGUUCUAAAUCCUGACCCUGCCUCUCGUCUGCUGUGUAAACAUGGACAAACAGGCCAAUUUCUCUGAGUCUUCCCAUAAGUAAAAUAAGGCAGACAGCCCUCACCUCACACUGCACAGAGCCCAGAGCACAGUAAAACCCUCCAUCAUACCAUGAUGGCUAGGAGAAGGUCGGUCUUAUUUUAAGAUGAAGGAUGGGGCUGGCACAGGGUGGUGAAGAAGAAUAGCAAAGAGGCAAACACGCCUGGAGCCUGGCCCUGACUUUGGAGCCAGCAGAGGGGAACCAGGCUGUGCAUCACUCCAGGCCAUGGCAAAGGGGCCCUGGAGAUUUCCCUGGAGGGAAGGGGACCCAGGUGGCCUCCAUCAAGGCUACAGGGAAGCAUCUCCCCGCUUCAGGCCUCGGAUGUGGCCAGAAGCUGCUGUGCCUUCUGCUCACGCCCAUGGGCCCAGGGUUGAGGCAGACUGGAGGAAGGAGGACUCAUCUCCUGCUUCUGAGUCUUCUCACAACUCCCACCAGCUCAACACCAGCGUCUGGAGCCUUGGGAGCCACUGGUUUCUGGGGUGGGCUUGGGAGAUCCUCACCCUGCAUCAGGGGUGACUCAGAAAAGCAGUUGGUGGGCAGGGAGGGUGCUCAUCUCUGUACAAUAGGAAUAGAAACUUCACAUAAAGAGAAGCUGAAACAUGAACAAGUUAAAGAGAUGGAGAAUACGAAGGAAAAAUUCAGAGGCCUGGGGCUAAAAUGAGAAGGAUAAAAUACAGGAAUAAAAGAAAGUUAAUAUUGGAAGAAGUGAUAGCUGGGGAUUUUCCUUGUACUAGGAAAAUUCCCAGCCGUGAUUUAUAGAGGAAGGAUAUAAAAUCUGAAGUUGAAGAAGCACAAUGAGCCUUGAACAAGAUAAAAAUAAAUGAUUCCAUAAUUAGACACAGUUUAGAGAAACUUUACAACCCUAAAGUAGAAGAGAUCUCAAAGACCCAGAAAAGACAAAUUGUCUACAAAGGAACAACAGACUCUCAACCUAUAGCAAUGGAAUCCAGAGAAUAAUGGAAUAAUAUUCUAAUAAGAUUCUGAAGUGCUGGGGGACAUAGCUACCAGCCAACAUAUGCAUUAAUUCAAAAAUGAGGGUGACUUUGGGAGGCCAAGGUGGGUGGAUCACCUGAGGUCAGGG